rnacentral:rRNA from 1 species
ACCCGCUGAACUUAAGCAUAUCAAUAAGCGGAGGAAAAGAAACUAACAAGGAUUCCCCUAGUAACGGCGAGUGAAGCGGGAUGAGCUCAAAUUUAAAAUCUGGCUGGUUUACUAGUCCGAAUUGUAGUUUAAAGAAGCGUUUUCGGUGGCAGCCUGGGUAUAAAUCCUUUGGAACAGGGUAUCAUAGAGGGUGAGAAUCCCGUCUUUGACUCAGUGCAUGCUACUAUGUGAUACGUUUUCAAAGAGUCGAGUUGUUUGGGAAUGCAGCUCAAAAUGGGUGGUAAAUUUCAUCUAAAGCUAAAUAUUGGCGAGAGACUGAUAGCGAACAAGUACCGUGAGGGAAAGAUGAAAAGAACUUUGAAAGGAGAGUUAAACAGUGCGUGAAAUUGUUGAAAGGGAAACGCUUGACACCAGUCAUGCGAGCGGAAAAUCAGUCUUUUGCAGUGGGGAGUUGUGUGGGUUCGGACCGCAAGGCCGGCCUGCGCUGCAUCUCUGCUGUAAGUGAUGCACUUUUUCGUUUGCAGGCCAACAUCAGUUUCUUCUGCUGGACAAAACUCUUGAGAAGGUGGCAGCUUAGGCUGUGUUAUAGCUCUUGAGCGAUACAGUGGAGGGGACUGAGGUUUUCGCAGCGCGUGCUCUCGGGCAAGGCUGAUUGGGUGCUAUGGGAUCGUUCGGUGUACAAUGCAUGCAUUUUGCGCCGUGUCUUUUCUAUACUCGCUCAACUCGGCUCUUCCGCGCUUAGGAUGUUGGCUUAAUGGUUUUAAUCGACCCGUCUUGAAACACGG